rnacentral:rRNA from 1 species
AUGGCACCGUCCUACGACAAGACCAUCGCCACGGCGGCCUCGCUGGCGGCCUCCCUGAUGCUCGUCCGCAGCCUGGCGAGCGAGCUGCUGCCGUCCGAGGUGCGCGACGCGCUCUCCGCAGCCCUCAACAGCCUGCGCUCCCGCAUGACGUGGCAGCACACCAUCGUCAUCGAGGAGACGGAGGGGUGGUCGGGCAACCGCGUCUACGGCGCCGUCAAGGCCUACCUCGCCACGCGCAUCAACGCCAACAUCGACAUGCAGCGCCUACGCGUCAGCAGCACCGAGGAGGACGCCAAGAAGAUGGUCGUUAGCAUGGAGGCGGGGGAGGAGAUGGUGGAUUUGUACGAGGGGGUCGAGUUCAGGUGGUUCCUCGUGACCCGGGAGGUGAAGGGGGACCUGAACAACGGCGGCGGCGGGGCACGGGAGAUCAGGUCAUAUGAGGUGCGCUUCCACAAGAGGCACAAGGAGAAGGCCCUGAAAGAGUACCUCCCGUUCAUCGUCGCCACCGCCAAGGCCAUCAAGGACCAGGAGAGGAGCCUCAGCAUCUACAUGAACGAGUACGGCGACGAGUGGUCCCCCAUCGACCUCCAGCACCCCUCCACGUUCGACACCCUCGCCAUGGACCAGAAGCAGAAACAGUCAAUUGUGGACGACCUCGACCGGUUCAUCAAGAGGAAGGACUACUACAGGAGGAUUGGCAAGGCGUGGAAGCGCGGGUACCUGCUGUACGGCCCGCCGGGCACCGGCAAGUCCAGCCUCAUCGCCGCCAUCGCCAACCACCUCAGGUUCAACAUUUACGACCUCGAGCUCACCGGGGUCGACUCCAACUCCGACCUCAGGAGGCUUCUCGUCGGGAUGACCAACCGGUCCAUUCUCGUGGUCGAGGACAUCGACUGCACCAUCGAACUGAAGCAGCGCGAGGAAGAUGACAAGGAGCAUGCCAAGUCCAAUUCUACAGAAAAGAAGAAGGCAGAAGACAAGGUCACAUUGUCUGGGCUGCUCAAUUUUGUAGAUGGCUUGUGGUCGACAAGUGGGGAGGAAAGGAUCCUCAUCUUCACGACCAAUUACAAGGAGCGUCUCGACCCAGCACUUCUGCGGCCUGGCAGGAUGGACAUGCACAUCCACAUGGGGUACUGCACCACAGAGGCCUUCCGGAUCCUUGCCAAUAACUACCAUUCCAUUGACUACCAUGUCACCUAUCCGGAGAUCGAGGCGCUGAUCGAGGAGGUGACGGUGACGCCUGCAGAGGUCGCCGAGGUUCUGAUGAGGAACGACAACACUGAUGUUGCGCUCCAUGAUCUUGUCGAGCUCCUGAAGUUAAAGAAGAAAGAUGCCAUUGAGAUCGAAGGUAAGCAGGCAGAGGAGAAGAAAGACGCCAAUGAGAUCAAGACCCAGAGUAUGCAGGUGGACGAGAAGAAAAUUGUUGAUGAGAUCAAGACUGAAAGUGUGCAGGUGGAGAAGAAAGAUGACAAAAAGGUAGUGGUGAAGAAUGAUUUCACAGAAAACGGAAGCGGCUAG